UACGGGGGGAGCAAGCGUUGUUCGGAUUUACUGGGCGUAAAGGGCGCGUAGGCGGUCAGCACAAGUCAGUUGUGAAAUCUCCGGGCUUAACUCGGAAAGGUCAACUGAUACUGUGCGACUAGAGUGCGGAAGGGGCAACUGGAAUUCUCGGUGUAGCGGUGAAAUGUGUUGAUAUCGGAAGGAACGCCGGUGGCGAAAGCGGCACACUGGAUCUCAACUGACGCUGAGGCACGAAAGCCAGGGGAGCGAACGGG
rnacentral:rRNA from 1 species